GAAGAAUGAAGAAGAAGACUCGAAACUGCUUAAGCUUUGUUUGAUGAUGUUCCGAACAACAACAGCAACAACAACAUCAAUGGAUCGUUGAUGAAUUAGCAAGAUAUGGUGCCAAGUGAUGAUCGGAGGACGAGCAAGUUGUUUCUUUCCAUGGUGGUUCAUCUGAUUUCAUGGAUCAUAUGCGGGGAUAGCUGGUGAUGUGUGAUUGCUGAGGUCACUCGAGACAGUGGUGCGUCUUCUUCCUUGUCCACUUUAAAUUCUCCCCUU